GGGAGAAGCUGUGAGCUGUGGCGGUCAGAGGUUCAACGUGUUCCUUGUCAAAGUGAUGCUGCAGCUAAGGAACACUGGAGGGCAGCAGCAGCCUGCAAGAAAACAUCUGCAGCUCCACAACACAACAAAGAUCAGGUGUUCUACCCUAUAAAAUAGCAACCUGUAAAAUAAAGCACCACAAGGCACAGAAAAACAGAACAAUUACACAUCUGUACAAGACAACUACAAUCAAGCUCUUCAACAUGGAUCUGCGCUUCACAAUUGCUGUCUGGAUGUUUGUCGUCAUUGGGUAUCUUCAAGCUAGACCUCUUGAUGUGUCUGCCAAAAAACGUAUCUGUCUUCUGGCAGAGGAAGUCAAAUGUGAUGAUAAGGUGAAUUUCACAACUCCAACAAAUGUGAAGGAACACUGCCAUGGAGCGGCUCUGGAGACCAUCAUCGGAGAACUGAAGCAUGCCCAAACAGAAUGUGAUCUUAGCAAUACCAAUGCCAAUACCCGAUUGAAUCAAGUGCUGGAGAUUUUGACUAAAGCAGAACUGCAAGUGACAAACUCUACGGACUGCAAGUGGGAGGGAUCUCACAAGAAUUUUAAAGUCUUCAUGGAGGAUGUCGUACAUCUGAUAACAAGCAUUAUCGCUCACAAUGUUACCUCACAGAGACCCUUGUUUAAUAUUACACACAACACAAAAAUAUGAGCUUGUCUCUAAGAAUUAAGAAACACUGUGAAAAGUUCUCAUGUUAUUUAAUUUAAAUAUUUAUCUUAUUUAUAAUGCAACUAAUGUAUUUUUUUGAAAAUAAAAUGUGAACAACUGCAACUAAAUACAUGAUUUUGUCUUCAAUUACUACAUAUUUUCUCAAGUAAAUGAACAUGUUCUACAGCAUCUUCAGUGCAUGCCUAAUAAAAAUGGAUUAGAAGAAGACGUGGGCCAAGGACAAAUGCAGAAAUAUUUCUGAGGUCACAAUGAAAAUGACCCUAAAACCAAGAAAAAAACCUUAGAGAUAGAUAGAGAUGCAUAUUAAUUAUCCACAACGGAGGUUCUCUUGGGGAAAUUUAAGGCUGCAGUUGCCCGGCAACAGCUACAUUUACAAGGAGUUAAAAAAGAAAGAAAAGAAGAUUGGCGUGCACUCUCAGUUUUUAAUCAGUGUCCUCAGUAUCAGUAUAGACAGAGGCAGCACAUCAGUCUACAUCUCGACAUCAAGAGUAGUACAAGCUGCUUAUCAUACUUCCUUUGCAUCAAAUAUGGCCACCGUCACUGUAAUAACACUUCUCGUGUCCUUUCAAGUCCUUAUCUUUAAAACAACAUGGUAAUAUGGGCUCACAUGGGCAGUGGAAC
ensembl:lncRNA